rnacentral:rRNA from 1 species
CCUACGGGCGGCAGCAGUGGGGAAUAGUGGGCAAUGGGCGCAAGCCUGACCCAGCAACGCCGCGUGAAGGAAGAAGGCUUUCGGGUUGUAAACUUCUUUUCUGAGGGACGAAGAAAGUGACGGUACCGCAGGAAUAAGCCACGGCUAACUACGUGCCAGCAGCCGCGGUAAUCCGUAGGUGGCAAGCGUUAUCCGGAUUUAUGGGGUGUAAAGGGCGGGGAGGCGGGAAAGCAAGGCAGAUGGGAAAACUCAGGGCUCAACCCUGAGCCUGCCUUGGAAACUGUUUUUCUUGAGUGCUGGAGAGGCAAUCGGACUUCCGUGUGUAGCGGUGCAAUGCGUAGAUAUCCGGAGGACCCCCAGUGGCGACGGCGUCUUGCUGGACAGUACCUGACGCUGCGGCGCGACAGCGUGGGGAGCAAACAGGAUUAGCUACCCGAGUAGUC